GCCGUCGUGGCCUAGUGGUUAAGGCGUUAAACUAGAAAUAUUUUGGGAUCUUCCCGCGCAAGUUCGAAUCCUGCCGACACCG
rnacentral:tRNA from 1 species